rnacentral:hammerhead_ribozyme from 1 species
AUCCAGCUGACUCGUCCUAAUUAGGACGAAACUCGCGUCUUGGAU